AUUGAACGCUGGCGGCAGGCCUAACACAUGCAAGUCGAACGAGUGGCGGACGGGUGAGUAAUGUCUGGGAAAAUGCCCGAUGGAGGGGGAUAACUACUGGAAACGGUAGCUAAUACCGCAUACCAUCGGAUGUGCCCAGAUGGGAUUAGCUAGUAGGUGGGGUAAAGUCUCACCUAGGCGACCAUCCCUAGCUGGUCUGAGAGGAUGACCAGCCACACUGGAACUGAGACACGGUCCAGACUCCUACGGGAGGCAGCAGUGGGGAAUAUUGCACAAUGGGCGCAAGCCUGAUGCAGCCAUGCCGCGUGUAUGAAGAAGGCCUUCGGGUUGUAAAGUACUUUCAGCGGGGAGGCGUUACUCGCAGAAGAAGCACCGGCUAACUCCGUGCCAGCAGCCGCGGUAAUUC
rnacentral:rRNA from 1 species